CCGAGGUAGUACUCCAGAACAGAAAAGGGCUUAAUUUGUUGUUCCUCCAACAAGGGGGACUAUGUGCCGCAUUAGGAGAAGAGUGCUGCUUUUAUGCCGACCAUACUGGGGUAGUGAAAGAAUCCAUGGCUAAGGUGAGAGAAGGAUUAGCCAAGAGGAAGAAGGAGAGGGAAGCACAGGAGGACUGGUUUGAGGUUUGGUUUAAGAGGACUCCCUGGUUCACCACCCUAGUUUCUACCUUAGUUGGCCCAUUUGUUUUGCUUGUGCUCAUUCUAACUUUUGGCCCUUGCAUUCUGAAUAAGCUUAUUAAUUUUGUAAAAAAUCGUGUUAAUACCGUCCAGCUCAUGGUCUUAAGACAGCAGUAUGAGAAGUUGCCUGCUCCUGAGGAUCCCUACGACUGCCCUACAAAUGAGCAAGAUUCCUCAUUAUGAGCAACUGAAAGGGGGGAAUGUAAGAGUGGCCAUCUGAAAGGC